UUUUUAUAUUUAAGUUGCUACGUGGCAAUAUUUAAGUGGUGGAUGUCUCCCACUUUGACCACCGUUUGUCCUAUCCAUGGUGGUGCCACGUGUCACGCGUCCAACUCACUUGCACAGUUGUACCGCCCCACCACCGACCCUCUCCGCACCAAUCUCCGCAGCUCACCCAACUCGAACAACUACCAAACCCAUCCGUUACCCGACGCUACGCGUACCCGAAGAUGCCCCUCGGGAACAACGUAACUUACCAUACUCCUUCCAAUAAAUACGCACCACCUCAUGAUGGCCACUAUUCCCUAGACCGGGUGUACUGGACUGGAGCAAUAGACCACCCAACACACUGAUUUCUUUUUACCUUAGAUAAGUUAAAAAUUAAACUGAUCUUACGUUGAUACGACUUGUAACUAUAAUGCGUAAAUAAAAUACCUGCUUAUAGAAGCAAUAAUAAUGUUAGGUCAAUUCAGAAUAAGUGUUGUAGUUUAGGAUUAUAUAUAUAUAUAUAUAUAUAUAUAUAUAUAUAUAUAUAUAUAUAUAUAUAUAGGACAUUUUAUAAAUUGAACUCUAUUUAAGAAAUACCUACGAUACAUUGGAAUACUUUUACAUGCAGUAAUUACUUCCUACAAUAAGUUGUAAACAUAUUACAACAAAAAGAACUCUUUCUUAAUUAAUUUGAAGGUGAAUGAUAUCUUUACUGUUUAUUUAUUUAACUAAAUAGACCACCGACAAUCAUCAACAAAGCUAGUGAUGAAUUUGUAAGAUAUUAAUUUAUGAGGCCAGCAAUUUGUACCCCAACUUGCAAGUUUAUAAUGAGGUGUUCAAGCUUCGAGCUCUACAGAAAAAAAAAAAAAACAAAAACAAAAAAGGAAAAAAUACGUAUAGGUUCCUACAAAUAUAAUGAAUUACAAAUAUAUUUCUAUAAAGUUCGACUUUUAUAUAUUGCUCUUACAGUCCUUAAAAAAAUUUAGUUAAUCAUAGGUUAAAUAUUUUACCUUGAUUAGUUAAUGAAGUGAAUUAACUUUUUACUCCUCUGUAAUUAACAGUGGAUAUAUUUGUAAUAGCAAAAAAAUUAUUUCACUUACAAAAUAAAUAAUAUUUUAACGAUAAUAAAUUAGAGGGACAUAUUUGAAAAUAUUAAGACUUUUAUAGGGACAAUAUAUGAAAAUUAAAAUUUAUAAGAAUAUGUUUGUAAUUUAAUAUAUUUGUAGGGACCUCUAUGAAAUUAAUCCAAAUAGUAGUUUUUAUGUUGGGGUUUCUUAGGGUAAAGCCUAAGAAACGUGGUAGUCGUGGACUAGACAGCGAUUUCAUGUGAGGGACAACGUACCGCCUGCGAGGAUCGCAUCAGCUUUUCCCCGCACUCAGCUCUCUUCUCGCUUUACUUUUCCCCUCCGCAUCCUCCUCCCCAGCAAUGGAACUCCACCUUCCGGAAAACGACUUCCGCCGCUCCCAUCUUCUUCUUCUUCUUCCUCGCCCAUGGACUCCGCGAGCAAGGACUACUGCCACCGCCACCGCCACCGCCACUGCCGAGGCGGCGCCACGCUCCUCCUCCGCCGCUGCGCCCUCCUCACCGUCGCGGCGCUCCUCGCCCUCGCCCUCGUCCUCGUCGUCCUCGCCCUCACCGUAUUCCGGCCCCGCCACGCCGUCACCACCGUCGACUACGUGCGCCUCGCGGGGCUCCGCAUCGCGCUCGACGUGCCCGACCUCGGCGUCGACCUCAACCUAACCCUAGACCUCGCAAUCACGGCCUACAACCCGAACCGCGUCGGGUUCCGGUACGGCGAGGGCGACGCCGAGCUCUACUACCGGGGCGCGCUCGUGGGCGCGGCGUCGAUCCCGGCCGGGGAGGUGGCGCCGCGCGGGAAGGUGCGCACGGACGUGGAGCUCACGCUGCUCGCGGGGCGACUCGCCGGGGACGCGGCGCUCUACGCGGACGUGGUCGCCGGGGAGGUGCCCUUCGCCACGGAGACGACGAUCCCCGGGAGGGUCACCGUGCUCGGGGUGCUCAAGCACCACAUGGUGACGUACACCGCGUGCGACAUCACCGUGUCCGUGCGGAAUCGGACGGUGGAGAACUCCAAUUGCAGGUACAGGACCAAAUUCUGAUCCUAGCUUAUUUGGGGUACAAUACUGUAUACGAAAUUUACAUAAAUAAAUAUAGAGAGAGAGAGAGAGAUGAGAUGUUUGAUGGAAUUCCCGCCUGUACCGUUUACAUGAUUUAUGGAGCUUCAUGGAACUCGAACUUGAAAAUCUCGACUCUCGAGUAAGUAGAACAAUAUAAUUUUUUUUAAAAAAAAUCUUAACUGAAAUAAGUUAGCUAUAGCUGUUAUCUUCUUUAUAUUCUUUAUGUUAAUCAUAUGGAGAGUGGAAUAGUUUAUCGCAAAGAGGAGGUCUAGUCCCUUCACUUUUGUUAGUGAGAUAAUUCAGGUGGAGAGAACUUCUUCCUUACUAGUUCAGCAUUUGAACUCGAAAUAUCUAUAGGUGAGAAUUAAUGAUCAUAAUAAUAUAUAUUAUGUUUAAUUCUUUGAUUCGUUGUGCGGUACUAGUUAAAUUGAUUGUGCGGUACUAGGCGAAUGGAAUUUCUUAUUCAUGUCACACAUUUCUCAUGCAAGUAUAUAUUUUGGCCAAUUGCGUCAUUAAGUAGACUCGUACACUUCCCUAAAACUCCUCCUGUGGAUGUACUGGUAUAAAGUUAUCAUGUGAAAGCUAAAACAACAUAGGAAAUUAACACAUGAAUAAUCAUAGACAACUCAUUGAAACGGAUGCAAAGAAGCAGGUCAUAGAACAAUAUUAUGAAUACCAGCCCUAUAGAAGAACAUCAGAGCAGUAGUAUCUGUUUAUCUUCUUCAAGAUCAAAAACUAACAUAGGAAAAAAAAUUUUGAGUUUGAUGGUUGAAAAUAGUCUUAAGCUAGAGGUAUGGACGUGUGCCGAAUAAGCCUUGGAAAAAAAUUUCACAAGCUUGAGUCUUUUAGAAACUUUUUCACUUCCCCACUCCCAAAAAUGCUCCGGCAAUAUUCUGGCAAACAAACAGGAGCAAUGCUGAAGAAAGAGGGUAUGAAGAACACUUAUCGUUCUCAAUGCUGCUUCUUAUCAGCGAAUGGUCCGCGCGGUAUCUUCUGAAGCACUUUCUCGUCCAGCACCUUGUAGUGCUUACUGAUUUCGACCAUCGCCUUCUCAGCUGCAGUAUCGACGUGAUCUUCGUAUUUUUCAUAGAAUACCGGCAGGGUAUAUGCGAUCACGAAAACUGCACAGGCAAACCAAUAAGAAUGUAUAUAUAAAAAAAAAAAUUGAAAAUGCCUCUACUUAAGACAAAAACUAGUGCUUAGUAUAGUCCAUAACAUAUAUAUGGUGUAUUUUAGCGUGUCAAUAACAUGCACAUAAUAUACAUUGAACUAGAAUACAUUCGGAAAAGCUGGUGCUUCCAUCUUUCAUGAAUCGCAUAUUCGCAUGCGUUUGAAAUCCACAUGGAUGCCCGACGGGCAUGCAUCUUUAUGUGCAUCAUACGGCCUUGGUGCAGGCCCAUGCAGAUCCCAGUGCGCAUCAAAAUAGCGAAAAAGAUUAACUACAGCUAUUACAGUGCUUUUAAAAGUAUUCUAGCUCAAAUCCAAGAUGAAUUAGUUGUUAGCUUAAAUCAAUGCGAGAAAGACUAUGAUGGGAACAUACUGAUAUAGAAAAGAGUCAAGAAACUGAACCAGCUGCCAACAACAGAAAUGACCCAGAGACCUGCAAUGACCUGCAUGAAAUUCUCUGUAAGACCACUGAAAUGAAAUUUGGUUUAAGAAAGUAAUAUUUUGAUACUUCACCAUCAAAAAUGUCUUCAAAUCCUUUCCAGAAGCUACGUAUCGGAAAGUUACGAAAGCUUCAUUAAUUUCAAAUCGUAUAGUUUGUGCUAUUUGUAGAAACAGGUCCUCAGGCAAAAUAACCUCUGGAAACUUAGGUGGAGACCUGAAUCAAUAAAAGAAUGUUUAUUCAAAAUAUAUAUUUAAGAAGAGAGACCGCUCUACAAUUAGUAAUGUUUUUGAGGUAUUAACUUGCCAAAGCUAUCAAAAAUAUAAAAAGUGAAAAUGUUGCAUUUAAUAUUUUAGCAAUAGUAUAUAGGAGGAAACUUGAAUGUUGAUUUAAGUACAGCUGGGGAAUGCAAAAUUCCUACAUAGGAUAAAACCAUACAGGAUAAGCAGUAAGUUCGGACUAGAAACAUUUUAAAGUUAUACAGGGAAACAAAAAAAACCUACAAAAGGCCAACUAGAUGGAACGAAAAUUUACUAAUUACAUCAAAUUAUAAUGACAAUGGACUGAUUCUGACGAACAGAUCAGGCAAGAUAAGUUUCAAAAUGAAAUGAAAAUUAUAUAAGCCUUAUAAAAUAAAGCUAGAAGACAGCUGCAAGGAAUUAAAUUCCAGACGAUGACAUUGAUUAAAAAGGUAAAGUAAGCAUAGGAUGCUAUCAUUUCUUUAGCAAGUCAUAAACUGAAAGAAUAAAAUCAAUUUACAAGUAUAAAGAUGCAGUUUUUGGAAAAUAAAAAAUAUAAAAACUAUCAAAAUGAUGCAAAAUAAGUCAUAUCUAAAUGACUACUAUAUAAAAAUGAAACCACGACUUCCAUUUGGUCCCAGUACAGUUCAAUGGUACAAGAUGUCCACAUUCUUAAUAGACUACGUAAUUUCAAUUACACCAAAUACUCGCUUCCUAUGUGCUGUAGCUUCUUAUAAAGGCACUUGGUUGAAAUCAUGCCUGUAUGUAUUUCUCCAAUAUCUUAUGAAUAUACAGAAACGGAUACGGUUUGAUUUUUUUUUGUUUUUUACUACCCAAUUAAAUCAAUAGCAAGUGAUUCACAAAAUUUUAUUUAUACCAAGCUCAAGCACUCAGUGAAUUCUCUUGGACCCAGAAUGAAAUGGGGUUCCAUUCGUUUUCCUUAUAAAAAAAAAAAAAAGAUGAACUGCCCUGAACCAAAGUCAAGGGUUUGUUUUGUUUAUCAAUUCAAAAGUCCUUUAUACACACCCUAUUGGAUAUGACACCUAAAUAGAAAUUAAGAAUGAAUCACACAGAUUCAAAUAACCAAGUUGAGCAAAUGUUGCCAUUGCAAAAUUAAAAGUGCAUAAUUGAGAAAGGUACUGCUAUCAUUAAUUCUAUAAACAUAAAUGAACAGUAUGUUACAGAGAUAGAAAAAUUUCGCAAACAUUCGACUGAGCAAAAGAAUGGCUAAGCAAUCAUAUGACGUAGAAGUGUAUGGGGCCUCACCUGUUUACAAAUGAUGCUGCAUUGGACCAAAUAAAAGAUAAAGCCAGCAAAGCUAUAACAGAGUGGCAUAUAAAAGUGAGUAGGUGAUAACCCAACCAUUCAAAGAGAAUCCAAAUAAUAGUUACUCCAGCAAGUAUGCUGCCUGAUGUCUUCUUAUCUCUCCACAAAAUAAUAUCAGCAUCUGAAAGCAUCAACAAAUAUCAGUAAGUUUUAGAGAGCCUUUAACUAAGAGAAGCCAAACAAACAUGGCAAAUGUUGGAGCAAAGAUGCUGACUCCCGGAUCUUACAAAAAACAAAACCAGGUUCUGGUUUGACACAGGUUUUGAUUGCUUUAUCUACCAGUCUCUUUUGACUUUUCGUAAAUAAAAGACAAAUGCUAAAGACUUUAAUUUAUAUGGAUAUAACUCAACAAAGCAAAAUGUGCAUACGAAGGAAAGAACAGUACAUAUGAUUAAAAAACAUGCACUAUUUAUAUCUGAUCUUCUAUUAAGUCAAAUAUCCUACACACCAAAAUCACCAGAUGAAACAAAUGAGAAGAAACUGAAAGAGGAAUAUUCAACAGCAUAAGCUGGAAAAUCAGAGACAAAUGUUUGCCCAAGCUAGUACAUAGCUACCAGAAAAUGUAGUAGUUAGUACAGUUAGAAACAAUCUAUGGUUAGAAAAGAAAGAGCUUACAGUCAUAACAAAAAUGCUUAUGUAAUGCAUUCUAUCAUUACCCCAAAAUGUUACAGGAGGGUGAGCUGUUAUUCCGUAAACUAAAUUGCUUCUAGACAAAUUUGAUCUAGACAUUAUUAAUGGUGAAGAUGUAAUACACCUUUAAAUGGCAAUUAUAAAGCAAAUUCCUGUUAUAAACUAAACAAUUAUCUUUAAUAACAUUCAUAACUGAGACCGAAAACACCUUCUAAAGUUCAUCAGUUUUACCUGAUCGUACUUCCUAAUUCUAUAUUGCAGGUUAAAAUUACUAAAAAUCGACCAUUGAAAACUUACAAUCCUCUAUUUAACCAACAAAAAUUUUAAAAAAAAAAUCUAAAUUUCUGCAACCUGACUCCAUCAAUCGUAAAGACAAUAUGAAUAGGUCACAAAUACAAAUAAUUGAUGAUGAACCUUCACAAGAUAUAAAUCGCCAGAUCGCUAUUUGCAUUGCCAUAAAACAAUCGAUCAUUAACAUAUCAGAUUAUGACAACAUUAUCUCAACUAAUUAUACACAAAACAAAUUUAACCGAAUUUUUGAUGAAAAUGUGUAUAUAUCAUUCUCAACAAAUAUAAUCAACAAUUAACAAAGGCAAUAAUCCUGGUAAAAGAAACCAUACAUUUCCCUCCUCCGAGAACUUUGUGCACCGAUUCCUUCCUCCCGAAGAGCCGUUUCUUCCUCGCAUUAUGCGAGGAGGGCCUCUCACUUUCGGAAUCCGAUGACGACGACGAUCCCUUGUACUCAUGAAUCAUCUCGUUGAUCUUCUCCGUCAUCGAGUUAUGCUCACCGAUCUCCGACAUUUUCCCCUAACCCUCUUCAAUAUUUUUUUAGAACAGAAUCAGCACAAACGAUUUAACAAAUUACGAAACCAAAAAAUCGCACGAAAUCGAUCGAGCGUUUAACACAUCAAAAGGCCGAUCGAAUCUACUACGAUCUCGAUCAACAAUGAAGCGCAUCAAAAUGCGAUAGGAUCGAAUUAGGGUUUCUUACCGAAGAAAGAGUCGUCUCUUACGUUUCCUUCUCCCUCUCUCUCUCUCUCUCUCUCUCUCUCCUCGACGCUCUUCACGCUCGAAACCGAAAAAUGGAAACGGGCGAACGAAGGGGAGGUAAAGGCGGGGGCCUUAAAUAGUCCGUGGCCGGGAGAAUCGGGCGGCUACGAAGUUUCCGUUACUCGAUCCAACGGUCAUUGUGGCUUCGCCGUUAAUGUCUAGUCACGGAGAGAUGACGCCGUUAGAUUCUGCGUCCGUUCUCACGUUGAAUGAACGGAGGGCCUCGGGGAACGGCUCGGUUCAAAUUUAAAUCACUCGGGACGAUUUAAUAGGCCGGUUCAGUUGGACCGGUCCGGUCCAACUCUAAUAGGGAAAAAAGGCCGGCCCAAUUCAUUUAUAGCAUGGUAAAAUUCGACGGAGACGCCUGAACUAUAGGAUAUUCUGAAAAAACCCCUCAGUUUAAGUCGAUUUUUUUUAAAAUUUUUUGGUUAAAUUUUAAGGCUCGAUCAACUGUUAAAAGUUACUUAGAAUUUAUUUUUUAGGAGAAAAGGUGCAUAGACAAGUUUUUUUUAAAAAAUAUUCAUUUUGUUAUCACAAAAGUUUUUGAAGUUUAUGCUGUUUGAUAGCAAUGAUUAAUUGUUCACUUAUGGUUGCAAGAAUUUUUCACCAUUUAGUAAUACAAAUUCACUUCACAUUAUAACUAAACCUCAUAAUAUAUUUUAAAACUUACAUGUACAACUUUACUUCAUAAUAUAUUUAUUGCUAUGUACUAAUGUACACCAUUUGGUUUUUAAAUAUUCAAUGUUAAAGAUAAACUGUUAAAUGCCUAUUAAGUUUAAAAUUGAUGUAUACAAAAGUAUUAUUAAUUCAAUAAUAUGUAUACAAAAUUGAUGUAUAUUAAAUUGAUGUAUACAAAAUUGAUGUAUAUAAUAGGUGCUUAGCAAUUGAAAGACUCAAAAAGUAUUAUUAAUUCUAAAGAAAACAAAUGUUGGAAAGAGAUUGGAAAAAAAAAAAAAGUUCCGAAAUCAAUAUUGAUCGAAUUGGAGUAUUCGUAGCUACUGUUUGAAUAGAACUAUUUAAACAAAAAAAAAAAAAAAAUAUGUCAGAACUAAAAAUUCUAGUUAUGAAGAUCAGAUGAGUAAAUUUUUUGCGAUUUAUAAAAGUGUUUUUUGGCGGAAGUUGGAGAAGAGUUGCAGUGAUUCGGUGCAAUACUUUGAGAGUUGAUUAUUAAAUUGAAAUUUACAUGUUAGAAGAAUUUAAUAUAAAUUUUGUUUUAAGUUUCUUUUAUUUAUAUCACUCUUUUUAAUUUUUUUGAUUUGAGUUAUUCGAACAAUGGUUGCUAAUAAAAUAGAUCAUAACUAAUUUAUCAAAAAACAAUUGUACUUUUUAAAAUUAGUAAUACAAUUAUACAAAUCAUUCAUUUUGUUCACCCCCAUUUCAAAGAUGUAAGCUUUUUUCCUACAUACUAAAUUCAAUUCUUCAUAUAGCACUUCAAAUUACAACACCCCCAAAUUAUUAAUUACAUAAUCAAAAAAAAAAAAAAACGCGUGCGCGCGCGCACACACUCUCCUCCCCAUUCCAUGAUAUUUCUAAAGCGAGAUCAUAUCUAUCAAAGUAGAAAGGAAAUGCAUCGUAUAUUAAUUGACCAAAACCGACAGUGGAUAUCAUGCGCCCUUCACAGAGAUGCCCUGCAUCAUGCACUUGAACUCGCCGAAAUUCACCCGUCCGUCAUGAUCCUGAUCGACGGAGCAGAUCAUCUCGCGAACCCUCGCAAGGCUCUUUGCCUCCGGCAACCCUAGCUUCCCGAGCACCACCUGGAGUUCGGCAGCGGAGAUGAACCCAUCCCCGUCCUCGUCGAAAACCCGAAACGCCUCCUUCAUGUCCUCCUCCUCUUGAUCAUCAGUGAUACAGAAGAGCUCCUCCUCCUGCUGAAUAUAAAAUACUAAAAUAUUAUUCUUUUAUUUUAUACAACAUCAGAACAAAAGAUAUUAAGUUCGCUCGUCAUCAACAAUAUACGAAAGCAAUAUAGUUUAAGACUAGUUUUUGAGUUUUCAGAGAUAAACGUUUGAUAUUGUGUGAUGCACGUUUUUUUUUUCUCUGAUCCACAAUUUUGUAAUAUUUGAGAGAAAAAAAAUAUUUGAAUUUUUUUUUCAAAAAGCAUGAAAGUACGUGGUUUUAAUCAGCACGGUGUGGCCUGAAGGUGGUGUUCAUUUGCUUCUUCAAAAAAAAAUUUUAUAAAAUAAUUUUCUAAUCAAAAAAUUUAUUUUUCGUCCAUUUAGAUUUUUUAAAAAUAAAUAUUCUGAAAAUAUUCCUUUUAGAUGCAUAAUAUUUUUCAAAAUUAACUUUUAGAAAAAUAAUUAUUUGUGAUUUUUUGAGAAAUAGAGAUGGAUUGUUGUGUCAUCGUUUAGCUCAUAUCGAUCACAGCGAGAGCGCUUUUUAAAAUUUUUGAAUUUUAUCUAAAAAAAAAAAAAAACACUUUCUCCUAGACAAGACCAAUAUAAAAUACUAUAUAAUUUAGGCUAAAUUACAGAUUUUUUUUUUUGUAGAAACUUUUUUUAUUUUUUCUUUCUAACUUCUAAAAAUGUAUAUUUUAUCUUUUUAAAAUUUUAGAAAUAUUUUUAGAAAAAUAUCGUAUUAAUGAAGAGGGCAAAAUAAUCAAAUUGACUUUACUUCUUUUAUAAAAAAUAAUAAUUUUUUAAUAUAUAUAGAUAUAUAUGUUAUUUUAAAAAAUAUUUUUGAUAUAAAUUAUACAAAAUGAACGUAAUAAUAAUAGAACACUAACGAGAGGAGCUAUAUGCAACAAUUGAAAAUAUUAAAGAAGUAAUAUAUAAUGAAAGAAUAGGUAUUUAUAAGAAGAUUUUUUGUAAUUUAUUAUUAGGUUAAUUUUCUACAGAUCUCCACAAAUAUAAUAAGUGACCAAUAUAUCCCUAUAAAAUUUAAUUUUCAUAUGUUGUCUCUACAAAAAUUAUGAUAUUUUCAAAUGAGUCCCUCUAAUUUGUUAUCAUUAGAGAAUCAUUAGAAAUUUGUUUAUAUUUUUAAUUUUGUUAUCACAAAUAUAUCUUUUCAAAAAUUAUAACAGUAUGAUAUAAGAGGAAACAAAAAUAUUAAAAAUUAAUUAUGAUUAGAUAUUUAAUCUAUAAUUAACUAAAUUUUUUAACCGAUUCUAAUGGCAGAAAUAUAUUUAAAAAUAUUAGAAUUUUUAUAAAGACAAUAUAUAAAAAUUAAACUUUAUAAUGAUAUAUUUGUUAUUCACUAUAUUUGUAGAGAUCUGUAUGAAAUUAAUCCAUUAUUAUUACUACUACGGCUGCGACGCACCUCGGUGGCGGGUGAAGGAGAGGGGGGGCCGGCGAAGAGCGCGUCGCCGAGGGCGCGGUGGAGGGCGUUGAAGUCGGGGAAGAGGAGGCCGGCGCGGCCGGGGGGUACGAAGGCGGCGACGGUGGCGGCGAGCUCUGCGCAGUCGGCGCCGAGGCCAAGGCGGUCGAGGGCGAGGGCGAUCUCGUCGACAGUGAUCUCGCCAUCGCCGUCGCUGUCGAAGAUGUCGAACACCCGCCGCAGCCGCACCGCAUUCAGGCUCUCGCUCCGCAGCCGGAACGACCGCGACGGGGCCGCCACCCCCCGCCUCACUCCCUCCGCCGCCUCCUCCGAUGCCGACGCCGCCACCGACGACGGUGAUAACAUUAAUGAUUCCAUUAAUAUUAAUUAAUUAUAAUUAAUAAUCCUAAUAUUAAUUAUUAAUUAAUUAAUAUUAAUAUUUGGAAUAAAAAGGAGGAAUUGGGGAGGAGAAUAAGGUGAGGGGGUUGGUGGGGGGCGGGGGGGGGGAGCGGAAUCAAAUGGGUGGUGGGGGGAUUCAUUUAUAGGAGGAGAGAGGAUAAGGGCAGGUGAAAAUUUACGAAGAACACCCUCAGCUACAGCAUAUUGUGAAAUGGGUGCUCAAAAUUUUUCCUCAAGAUUUGAUUUUAUUAAAUUUUAAAAUACAAGUAAAAUUAUCAAAAAUUUAAUAAGUUUUAAUUUAUGUCCUAAUUUUCGAAUAAAUAACAGCUAAAUGCGAUCUAAAUUAUUAAAACUGUUAAAAUUGAACGGUCCAUAUGUCAAAUAGACAAUAGUUGAGGGGUUUAUGUACAUUUUUUCACCGAGGCUCGGUCAGCUUGUUCGGAAGAGCGCGUGCGCCGGAAAUGGAGCCAAAAAUUUGGAGGGUUAUUAUUAUUAUUUUUUUUUUGGGGGGGGGUUUCUUGUGCCAUUGAUUUACCUAAAUUUAACUUAUUUACGUUAGAGAGUCUUGUUGUAACGUUUGUGGAAAAGUGCGUCAAGUUUUUAGUAUUUAUUUGAUAUGAAAAAAAAAAAUAGAACUUUAAAACAGAAAAAUAAGGAUGAUUUUUUCGUCCAUGAUCAGUUUAAGCUUUCCAAUUUAUCAAAAUAACUAAUAUUGCCUCAACAAAGAAAGAAACAUUAAUGAUCGAUCACAAAGCUCAAAAAAUCCGAAAAAAAGAGAGACAAAAGUAAAAUAAGCUCAUAUAUGGACAAGCAUUACGAUUGUUCUGAUUCUUACGUUGAGUUGAAUAUGAUUAUAAUAGUCGUGGUAAUUAAUAACAUAAAAUUAGCUACAGCUGGUACAUUAAUCUAUUGCUAAAAGCACUUUUCCUUAAUAUAUUGUCAAAAAGCACUUCCUCCUCAAUAAUAUGAGUUGUAGGAGGAUGUACAGAUAACAACAACUUGAGCUUUUAUUAGGGGAAGCAAAAAGAUUAAGGUGGGUGACAACUUUGGACUUUGUUUACCAUGUGUUGUAAUGCAAUUAUUAUAAAUCAUAAAUUAGAUAGUAGUGUCCAGAAACUUUAGAGUUACCAUUUGUUCGUAUCGCAGUUAUUUCUAUUUCCAGCUGCAAUUUUAUCUAAAAUAUUUAAUAAAUAAAAAAAUUUGAAUUCGUAAAUAGAAAAGGAUAAAAUAAGGGCAUUAUUCAGUUGACGCUUUAACAAAUGCCGGUGAAAUCGUGCGGCCAAUAAGUGAUUUUUUGGUGGCCGCUUUUUUUACCACAAUUUUAUAGUAUUGAAAAAAAAUAAAAAUAAAAAAAAACUUAAAAAAAAAUUACGCAUUCCAAAAUAUAAGAACAUGCAGUUUUUACAACGAAAAUUCCGAGUUAGCAAAAAGCAAAAGUGGGAUAAGAAUUACAGAACCUCUUUUCUCUCUCUCUCUCUCUCUCUCUCUCUCUCUCUCUCUCUCUCUCUCUCUCUCCAACUAUAUAUAUAUAUAUAUAUAGUACGUCUCCCGUACUUUCGAAAGUACGGAGGCCUCCAUACUUGUAAGCUGUUUUCGAUGAUAGGACAUCCGAUUCGACAAUCGGCUCCGUUAGGCAUAAUCUACGCUAUUGGAAUUAUCUAGAAAUCAAAUUUUAAAAUUUUUCGACAUCAUUUACCAAGCGAUCACACGGCCUCAAAAAUGACUAUUUUAACGAUCGAUGUGGCACGUUUUUAAGUUCAACGGUGUAGAAGUAUCCAAAUUAUAUGAAACUUCAAUAAAAAAUUCUAUUUAACAUCAAGAGUAAGAACUAUACUUCCGAUUUGAAAUUUGAGUCAUUUAUCACUGUUUUUUAUGAAAUUUUUAUUUUCAGCCGUUCAUUUUGAGGCUACUCGUUCACUAGGCAAACGAAGUCAAAAAAUUAUGAAAUUUGGUUACUAGAUUGUUCCAAUAGCGUAGAUCAUAUUUAACGGAACCGAUCGCCGAAUUGGAAGUCCCAUCAUCGAAAAUAACUUAUAAGUACAGAGGCCUCCAUACUUUCGAAAGCAUAGGAGCCUAGCUCUAUAUAUAUAUUAUAUAUAUAAAGAGAGAGAGAGAGAGAGAGAGAUGAGUUGGAACUCUAUCGGUAGCAAACAGGCUCCGUUGCCACCCAUUUGCUUUCGAUGAUAAAACUUUCAAAUUGACGAUCGGCACCGCUGAACAUGAUUUAUACUACUUGAAGUAUCUAGAAACCAAAUUUCAAAUCUUUUCGACAUCAUUCACCUAGUGAUCAAAGAGUUUCAAAAUUUGUAAUUUUAAUGAUAAAUAUGAAGUGUUUUCUCGUUUAACGGCAUAAAGCUAUCCAAAUCAAUUAAACUUUGGUUAGAAAAUUUUUUCAACUAUUUAGAGCAAGAUCUAUACUUUUGAUCUCGAGGAUAAAAUUCCUAUCAAACACUAUCCACCUACCACCAUCAUCUCAACCCUACAUCUCUCCAUCCAAUGGUGAAAAACUCAAAAGUUUGAAAGUAUUCUAGCUCAAUUUUCUAUAUAUAUAUAUAUAUGAAAUUUAUAAUUUAGAGACUUUUACUUAUUUAUCUCUAACUGCUAUUUAAAAUUUUUAAAUUUAUUCUCAAAUUACUAAAAACCUGUCUAAAUCCCAAAUUCCAUUUAUAAGCCCUUGGGGGUUUGGGGACAUUUGGUCAAUCAAGGUUAUAUUAGAUAUUCCUGGAAUUUUUAUAGGCAUAUUUGAUAUUAUUUUAAAUUUUAUAAUAUUGAAUCAAAUAUUUUUGCACAAUACAAAAGUAUUAAAUUUUCUUAAGAAAAUUUAUUUUAAUGUCGAAUUAAUAUAUUGUCGUUGAUUGAACUACUUUUCAAUCUUUUUUGACACAGUAUAAUUAACUAAUAUAGAAAACAGAAUAUAUCGAAUAUCUCUGGUAACCUAUAACUGCUAUCUAAGAAUUACAUCAUAUCCGUCUCUUUUUCUAAAGAAAGAUGGCAAGUUAUUCAAUUCAUAUAUUUUUUUAUUAGAGUUAAACUCAAAUAAAAUAUAUAAAAUAAUUAAAUUUCGUACUUAUUUCAAUCUCAGAUACUAAUUAUUAAAUUUUGACUAAAUUACAGAAAACCUCUCUAUACAAAUUCGUUGUUUCACUUUCUCUCUAUUACUUUUUAAAACCUACAUUUUGCCCUUUUAAAAUUUUAAAAAUAUUUUCAGGAGAUUACGAUGCUAAUGGAGAUAGCAAAAUGACCAAAUUACCAUUAUUUCUUCUAUAAAAAAAAUAUAUUUUUUUAAUAUAUUUUUAUCACUUUAAAAAAUAUUUUCGAUAUAAAUUAUAAAAAAAAUGAACGGAAUAAUAAUAGAACCCUGACGGAGGGGGUUAAAUACAACAACUUAAAAUUUUAAAAGAGCAAAAUAUAAAUUUUUAAAAGUAAAAAAAAAAAAGCAAAAAACGAAUAUUUAUAGAAAUUUUUUUUAUAAUUCAGUCUUAAAUUUUUAACUAAUUGUGCUAGAUCCAGUUGAGUCGGCGGUGACAUUCAAUCUCUAGAAGGCGAGAAAAUGUAUGUCACAUUCGAUUCGAUCUCUCGAAGGCGAGAAAAUGUAGUUUUGGGUCGCUUUUAAACUGGCCAGGAGACGGAGAAAGAAAAAAAAAAAAAAAAAAGUCAAAAAAAGGGACCAAAAUGAAGAAAAAAAAAUCAAAAAAAGGACCAAAAAGACAAAACCUGGGGGGGGUUGGGGGGGACGAGGUUCCGUACGUUGAAUGGACCAAAACCGAAACGCCGUGGUUUUAAAACGUCAACGCGCGGGGGCCGCGGAGUAGGCGCGGAUUCCCCGUCGACCGUUGGAAGUAGUUAGGGCUUGGAAGCGACCUCGAUCACUCGCCGUACUCUCCCGGCCGUUUCAUCCGAACCGUUCGAUUCCCCGCCCCACUUUUGACGAAUCCGAUUCCUCUUUGACCGUCCCCCCCUCCCCUUUGAUCUCCCAAUCAGAGCGUGCGCAUGUGCUGACGAAAUGGUAAAAGAUGUACCCAACCCAUAUGCACCAUAAAUUAUUGGGCCUUUUUUGUAUUUAGACCCCUCCAAAAAAAAUUUAUAUAUAUAGCCUCACAAAAUUUAUACUCACGGUGAAUAAUUCAUCGUAUUUCAGUAUUUUUUCUACGAUGGUAUUAUAUAAUAUUUAGAGUUUAAGAUUUAGCAAGGACACGAUAAAUCAUUCAUCAUGUUUUUAACUUAAUCUCCACCGCCAUCGACGCUCGCGUGACGCUCGCGUGGCGGGGAUAAAAUCAAUCGUGUUUCAGUAUUUUUCCUAAUGUGUAAUUUAUCCUUCGAAAUUUUAAUUUUACUAUCCAAUUUGAUUCGAAUCGAUCAACGACAUUUGACUUUAAAUUUUGAAUGUAUCGUUUAUUUUUACAGAUUUAGUUUAUAACUUUAUAUAUAAUUCUGACAACUAUAAUUUAUUAGAGUAAGAGAUUAAUCUAAAUUUUAAAGUUAAGAUAUUAUUAACUGACUUGAAUUAACAAAUUGAGAUAUUAAAUAGUCAACGCAAAAUGAUUUAUAAUUCAAAAAAAAUAUAAAAUUCCUUGGGGCUUAAUCCAGAUAGUUUUUGAAGAGUCCUCGGCAGCGAAGAAGAGUCAAUCCAGACGUCUCCAAUCGGCAUAACUGAAAAACACGGCUUGAAACAGGAAAAAAAAAAAAAAAAAUCAAGGGAAAG
rnacentral:lncRNA from 1 species